CCUAUGAUUAACAAAAAUUUCAAUAAAUCCACAAUUAAUCUAGUAAUUCAAAUAGAGCAGUCCGACAUAUCCAAAUAAACAAAUUAGUUCAAUUACAAGAUCUUCAAAUGUUCAUCGACAUCAAAGAAGGACAAAUAAACUAACUAGCUAAUGACUCUGAUACUUGCACUCUGCGCCAAUUCCAUCCAAAUCUAAGCAUCCUGCAACUCUGAUAAAAAGAAAGAAGAAAAGGGGAUGAGCUUUACAGCCCAGUAAGAAUCCCUACACAUCCACACCAACACAAUAAUAAUAAAAAUCUGAAAACCACGACAAGUCAAAGCACAUAUCAUGAAGUCAUAAACCGGCUAUCAAAGCUCAAAUAAUCGAUACAAGUAUGUACAUCAAACAUCAAUAAAAAUACAGCCACACAAGAAAUAUAUAGCAUAUGAUAGCUCAUAAACUUGUAUUAUAGUUUCAAUGUCUUUUCUUCAACUUGAUUCGGUUUAAUUAUCUUUCCGACUUUGGGUCCAAUCUCGGUCACAUUUCUCAGCCUGUGGUGGGGCAACCAAAUUAUCACAUUUUCAGCCUGUGGCAGGGCCUGCAUAAUAUAGUUCCACACUUCUAGCCUGUGAUGGGGCCUGCCAGAGUAUCAUAUUUUGAGCCUGUGGCGGGGCCUGCACAUUAUAGUUCCACAUUUCUAGCCUGUGAGGGGGCCUACCAAAGUACCACAUUUUUCAGCCUGUGACGGGGCCUACCAUAAUAACAAGAUAACCCAAAGUCCCUUUUCAUACAAUCUAGUUUACAUCCACACAUCAAUUCCUUUAUAUUUAUUUCCGGCUUUAAACUAACCACGGUCACGUUUUCAGCCCGUGACGCGGCAACUAAUAUCAUAUGGUUAGUUUAGAGCACCACAUCCAUCAGUCCAAUUAUGUAGGUGUAAGUUAUGCGCAUGCAUGCAUCCAUCAUAAUACCAACCACAAGCGAAUACGAUCAUAAUAUCAACCACAAGCCAACACGAUCAAAAUAUAAUUUAAUAUAAAACUAAUUUUGAUUUAUCUGGAUUAUAGCAUAUCAUACAUAUCUAAGUAUAAAAAUAUUAUAUCA
rnacentral:lncRNA from 1 species